AUUGAACGCUGGCGGCAGGCCUAACACAUGCAAGUCGAACGAGUGGCGGACGGGUGAGUAAUGUCUGGGAAACUGCCUGAUGGAGGGGGAUAACUACUGGAAACGGUAGCUAAUACCGCAUACCAUCGGAUGUGCCCAGAUGGGAUUAGCUAGUAGGUGGGGUAAAGGCUCACCUAGGCGACGAUCCCUAGCUGGUCUGAGAGGAUGACCAGCGACACGGGAACUGAGACACGGUUCAGACUCCUCUGGUGGGCGGAAGUGGGGAAUAUUGUGCAAUGGGCGCAAGACUGAUGAGGCCCUGCGGCGUGUAUGAAGAAGGCCUUCGGGGUGUAAAGUACUUUCAGCGGGGAGGGGUGACCCGCAGAAGAAGCGCCGGCUAACUCCGUGUGAGCAGCCGCGGUAAUUC
rnacentral:rRNA from 1 species